UGCGCCCAGCCGCCCCGGCACGGCACGGGCGGCGCCGAGCGGCCCCGCGGGGAAGGAGGCAGAAGUGGGGGGGGACGGGACCGGCCACGACCCCCCCCCCCACCGCCCUCACCGGGGUCCCGUCUCCCCGCCAUGCCCGUCGGUGCCUGUCAGCCGCCAGCGGGGAGAGGCGUCCCCCGGCGCCGCCGUCCUGCCCGCCUCUGCCCACCUCUCGGCGUUACGGCACGUCUAAAGCGGGGCCGGCGGGGCCGUUUGCCGGUAAAACGGCUUUCGUGAGGGAAAAAUUAGUAAUAAUAAUAAAAAAGCCCUUCGCCCGUCGAGGAAACCGGGCACCGGGAAGCGGCGGGGCGGUGGAGGAGCCGGAGUGACUUCGCCAAAUGAAGACCGAUCUCUCGUAUCGCUGCGUUUUGCUCCGUGCUGCGCUUUAGAAACGUAAAUAGAUGACAUCAGGUCUGUAAAUCCACCGUGCAGACGGGGAUAGCACCUCAAAAGAAGGCAAGCUGCAGCCCCAAUGAAUGACAAGAGUUUCCUUCUCAGCCACGGACCUGAGCUUCUCAGCUGAGCAGCUGAAGUAAGAGUUUGGAGUGAGUCCUGAGAAGGGAAGUUAGUUAUGACUUCACCCGUGUGAGCAGGAGUCUAGCAAACUGUCAAAAAAGGAAGUAAGACUCUAACAGCUGUUCAAGGCAAGUUCAGAAACAAAGGAGAUUUGUAACCACAACACUUAUUUCAUGCAGACUUUCUACAGAGUGAAAAAGAAAUAUGCCUCCUUCAGAAAUGUUUUGCAAUGCCCACUUGUGUUACUGCUGAGCCUACGAGGGGAUGUGCAUAGGGUGAAGCAUACUGUCUGCACAGCAGGCAGUACUUCAUACUUGAUAACUGUGUCCCAGAGAGGGUACAUCCAGCAGCUGCCCUCAUAGGUGGCAGCUUGGGUAAUGAAGGCAAAAAAAAAUUAUCACAGAAGAUUGCACGCAGUGGCAUUUGAACAUGGUUGUCUCACAGAUAACCGGGCAACUCUUUUGAAAAAACAUAAAGUUGCCUCAAAACCAACAUUUCAUUAAGCAUUAUUUAUUCAUGCUACGGUUUACUUCUUCCUUUCAGAUCAGUUUUGGCCAUGCAUUCAUUAUAUGUAUAAUCCUGCUUAAAUCUUUGAGGAGAUUCACAUGGAUAAAGUUAUGUAUAUGGUUCUGUAGUAACAGAGUCUAAAGAUAAAAUUACAUUAAAUCAC